GGGCAAUUCCUUUUGCCGUAGGCAUGCAGUGGGCAUUUUUUUCACGAGCAGGAGUGCCCACCUUUCUGGUCGAGGCUAUCGCCUGUCAUUCGAGGGAGGGGAGUUAUCUUGUAGACUCCAGCUUGACUUGGGAGGUAUUGGAAACGGCCGUCUCGCCUGGAGGGAGUACAGAUCCGCUGCCUUGAGGGAUUGCUCUAGUGCCAUGCUCAGAGC
rnacentral:lncRNA from 1 species